CGCUUUCCAAUGUGAGAAACAGAGAAAGCAGCGAGAGGGAGGGAGAGAGAUAGAUUUGAAGGGGAUUGACUUUGACAAGACAUAAAAAUUAAAUUAAAAAUAAAAAAUAAAAAAUCAGAAUCACAGGAGCCACUUUCCAAUUUCUAGGGUUUUACACAGAGGAAAGGAAGAGCGGGAAAGCAAUCAAAUUCCAGAAAGGUAUGGUUUGAGAGAGAGAGAAUGGACGGUCUUCGUCCCAGAAACAGAGAGAUUUUCAUCGGCUUUACGAUGGCCGAGACAGAAAAAAUGGAUAAAUUGAUGAGGGAAUUAGGAGAGCAAGUGCUGGAACGAGAGUUCUGUCAAAGUGCUGCAGAAAGUUUUAAUCGCUCUGCAGCUCGUGCUGGGAAACCUAUUGUAAAAUGGACUGAGUUGCAAAGCUGGUUCGAAAAUAGGGUGAAGGAGUCACCAAACAUAUCCAGAAAUUGCCCUUCGAAUAAGGCACACAAAAGUUUUGAAAUACCUAAAUGUGCUUCUCACAAGUACUUGUUGCUUUAUGUCUAGGUUAUAGUACCAUACAAGCUUCUAAGGCUUUUAAAAACUGGUUAAAUCAGAUUAUUGUGAUUGUACCCAAAAAUAGAAAAAUAGUGAAUGACAGACCAACCGAGAUAAUCGAAGCUUUGAACGUUUGUUCUUGUUGGAUGCAUCAGUUUGUCGUUAUUGCUAUCUUGUUGGUUAUUAGCAUUUUUUUGUGGCAAAACCUUGUGCCUAAUUUGGUGAGCAUAGCAAACUGGGCGUUUGUUACAAAUCAUGAAAAGAUUGAUACGAGGCAUUUGGUGAAGGAUGUAAGGAAAUAGAUCCUCAUGUACACCUAACUAACCUGCCGAUGAUACAAGUUUAGUGCCUCGAUCGAUGUCUGUUUAGCCACCUCAUUGUUAAGCCAAGAGAUAGGACAAUCUUCAACUGUGUGUGCUGUUGAAUUUAUGUCCUGAUUGCUUUGAUUGUAAUUCUUCUGGAAAAAGCUUUUUCUUCACCUGAGUUGAGGUCCAGGCUUCACCUCGAAAGUCAUUCUUCGAGUGUAAAAUAGCUCUCCAAACUUCAUUCUUUCAUUCAAUUUUCAUCUCUGGUUGGUUAUGCUAUAUCUGUAUGCUUUAACUGACUGAAGCUCUACAUGUUUUUUGAGACCAUGAGACGCUUUCUAUCUUUUUCCUCCAACCCUAUCAGCCCUUCUCCUCUCUCUCUCUGAAUCUCUUAUAUCGCUUUGCAGGUAUGAUGUUGAAAAGUUCCUUGCUCACAGAUUCCUUAGUACGGGCGAAACUGUAAGUAUCUAAAUCACAACUUAUUGCCUCUAUCCAUGAAUAUACUGCUGAUCGACACGUUGGUCUGAACUUUGAGUACGUAUAAGUACCGGAGAGUUGGAGACCACUUGGAUUGGAAAACAGCGUACAAAUACCAGACCUAGCCAUAUAAGUUCAUUAAGUGACCUUUGUCAUUUAUUAAAGGAAGUUAGUGUCAUAUUUGUCGGAUUCGGAGCCAAAGAGGAUGAGUGGGUUAAUGUGAAAAAAGCAGUGCGGGAGCGCUCCGUGCCACUGGAGCAUUCAGAAUGUUAUACAUUGAAGGUUGGAGAUCAUGUCCUCUGCAUCCUGGAGAGGAGAGAUGAAGCAAUCCACUUCGAUUCCCAUGUUACAGAUAUCCAAGGCAAAUGCACGAUAUAAGGGGCCGCCGGAGUCUCUUCACAAUCCGAUAUAGUCCCGACAACUGCGAGGCGAGUAUUGCCAAUCCUUUUUUUUUUCCUUCCCCUUUUUCAAUUCAGUCUCGAGGUACUUAACCAUUGAUCUGAUGAUGUUUAAUGUCCUCCGGGAAUGAGUCCGUUUGAGGAGAUUGUGUUGUCGCCCAAAACAUCAGAUGCUGCAUGCGUUUUCUCAAGUUGAUUUUCAGUGAACGCCGGCCCAGUUUUAUCCACCUUUUUUGUACUCGAGCUGUGUGAAGGCAAGAGAGACGAGGCAUGCUUGGGUGGUCGAUAUACGGCAAUCUAUGGCGCUUGUGGAUUUGGAUCACCAGAACCCAUUUAUGUUCGUACGGUGGGAGUGAAUGUGUGUGAGUCUACACAGAAUAGACUAGGGUUCUACUUUGCAUACGAUCACAGGUAUAGAAGACGAUCAUUGUAUGUCUCGCAGUUCAUAAAAUGCGUUUGGAAGCGGCUGAUCGGGUAAACUGCCAUUUGACC